rnacentral:snoRNA from 1 species
AUGAAGAUAUUUUAAAAAGACAAGCUGAAGUCAAGCUGACUCUGCUUUUAACCUCCUUACGUGAAAAGGUAGAUAGAACAAGUCUUGUAUGAAAAAUAGGUUCAAGACCUACUUAUCUACCAACAGCA